rnacentral:rRNA from 1 species
UAUAUAGCCUGAGAACCGAGGCGGACCCGUUCAGGGGAAGUGGAUGAUCCCAUGCUGCCAAGAAAAACUUCGUAGUGAGUGUUAGAGCCGCCCGUACCCCAAACCGACACAGGUGAUCAGGUAGAGAAUACCAAGGCGAUCGAGUGAACCAUGGUUAAGGAACUCGGCAAAAUGCCCCCGUAACUUCGGGAGAAGGGGGGCCGGAUGCGUUACCUCACUUGCUGGGGGAAGCGUUGAUGGCCGCAGAGACCAGGCCCAAGCGACUGUUUACUAAAAACACAGGUCCGUGCGAAGAAGUAAUUCGAUGUAUACGGACUGACGCCUGCCAGGUGCUGGAACGUUAAGGGGACAGGUUAGCUGGUUUAGGCCGGCGAAGCUUUGAACUUAAGCGCCAGUAAACGGCGGUGGUAACUAUAACCAUCCUAAGGUAGCGAAAUUCCUUGCCGGGUAAGUUCCGACCUGCACGAAUGGCGUAACGACUUGGGCGCUGUCUCAACCAUGGACUCGGCGAAAUUGCAUUACGAGUAAAGAUGCUCGUUACGCGCAGCAGGACGGAAAGACCCCGGGACCUUUACUACAACUUUGUAUUGGUGGUCGGUACAACUUGUGUAGGAUAGGUGGGAGACUGUGAAAUCCGGACGCCAGUUCGGGUGGAGUCAUCGUUGAAAUACCACUCUGGUUGUUCUGGCUGUCUAACUUCGGUCCAUUAUCUGGAUCAGGGACAGUGCCUGGUGGGUAGUUUGACUGGGGCGGUCGCCUCCUAAAAGGUAACGGAGGCGCUCAAAGGUUCCCUCAGCCUGGUUGGCAAUCAGGUGUCGAGUGUAAGUGCACAAGGGAGCUUGACUGUGAGACAGACAUGUCGAGCAGGGACGAAAGUCGGAACUAGUGAUCCGGCGGUGGCAUGUGGGAGCACCGUCGCUCAACGGAUAAAAGGUACCCCGGGGAUAACAGGCUGAUCUUCCCCAAGAGUCCAUAUCGACGGGAUGGUUUGGCACCUCGAUGUCGGCUCGUCGCAUCCUGGGGCUGGAGUAGGUCCCAAGGGUUGGGCUGUUCGCCCAUUAAAGCGGCACGCGAGCUGGGUUUAGAACGUCGUGAGACAGUUCGGUCCCUAUCCGCUGCGCGCGCAGGAGACUUGAGAAGGGCUGCCCCUAGUACGAGAGGACCGGGGUGGACGAACCUCUGGUGUGCCAGUUGUUCCGCCAGGAGCACGGCUGGUUGGCUACGUUCGGGAGUGAUAACCGCUGAAAGCAUCUAAGCGGGAAGCACGCUUCAAGAUGAGGUCUCCCACCGAGUUAAUCGGGUAAGGCCCCCAGUAGACCACUGGGUUGAUAGGCCAGAGGUGGAAGCGCCGUAAGGUGUGGAGCUGACUGGUACUAAUAGGCCGAGGGCUUG